rnacentral:rRNA from 1 species
GACAGAGGGUGCAACCGUUGCUCGGAAUUACUGGGCGUAAAGGGCUCGUAGGCGGCCAACUAAGUCAGACGUGAAAUCCCCAGGCUCAACCUGGGAACUGCGUCUGAUACUGGAUGGCUUGAAUUCGGGAGAGGGAUGCAGAAUUCCAGGUGUAGCGGUGAAAUGCGUAGAUAUCUGGAGGAAUACCGGUGGCGAAGGCGGCAUCCUGGACCGACAUUGACGCUGAUGAGCGAAAGCUAGGGGAGCAAACGGG